UACGUAGGUGGCGAGCGUUGUCCGGAUUUAUUGGGUUUAAAGGGUGCGUAGGCGGAUAGGUAAGUCCGUGGUGAAAUCCUGCAGCUUAACUGCAGAACUGCCGUGGAUACUAUCAAUCUUGAAUAUCGUGGAGGUAAGCGGAAUAUGUCAUGUAGCGGUGAAAUGCUUAGAUAUGACAUAGAACACCAAUUGCGUAGGCAGCUUACUACACGAUCAUUGACGCUGAGGCACGAAAGCGUGGGGAGCAAACAGG
rnacentral:rRNA from 1 species